rnacentral:rRNA from 1 species
UACAGAGGGUGCGAGCGUUAAUCGGAAUUACUGGGCGUAAAGCGUGCGUAGGCGGCUAUCUAAGUCGGGUGUGAAAGCCCCGGGCUCAACCUGGGAAUUGCAUUCGAGACUGAAUAGCUAGGGUACGGUAGAGGGAAGUGGAAUUUCCGGUGUAGCGGUGAAAUGCGUAGAUAUCGGAAGGAACAUCAGUGGCGAAAGCGACUUCCUGGACCAGUGCCGACGUUCAGGCACGAAAGCGUGGGGAGCAAACAGG